rnacentral:rRNA from 1 species
UACGUAGGGGGCAAGCGUUGUCCGGAUUUAUUGGGCGUAAAGAGCGUGUAGGCGGUUAGGUAGGUCCGUUGUGAAAACUCGAGGCUCAACCUCGAGACGCCGAUGGAAACCAUCUGACUAGAGUCCGGAAGAGGAGAGUGGAAUUCCUGGUGUAGCGGUGAAAUGCGCAGAUAUCAGGAAGAACACCCGUGGCGAAGGCGGCUCUCUGGGACGUGACUGACGCUGAGACGCGAAAGCGUGGGGAGCGAACAGG